rnacentral:lncRNA from 1 species
CAAAAGUCUAGUUUGACAAUUUUGAUUAACUUGUUAGCGAGAUCCUAGUGUAAUUAGGAGAUUUACUUCCUAAUAUAUUAUGAUUCUAUUUAUUUCCUUUUGUAUAGAUAUUAUGUAAUUAGGACUUUAUCUUAGUUUCCUAGUAUAACCCUACUAGGGUUUGAACUCUUGUAUUAUAAAUACCUCAUUUUAGAGAAUGAAAUAUAAUAUGAAACUAUUCUACCCACUUUGUUUGAUAUGGUAUCAGAGCAAACUUUUCUAGUGACCUGUGUG